AUGGGGAGGAGGACGGGGGACAACGUGGGUCCAUCAACCCCAACGUUGGAUCCAUCAACCCUAAUGUUGGAUCCAUCAACCCCAAUGUGGGUCCAUCAACCCCAACGUUGGAUCCAUCAACCCCAACGUUGGAUCCAUCAACCCCAAUCUUGGAUCCAUCAACCCAACGUUGGAUCCAUCAAACCCCAACGUUGGAUCCAUCAACCCCAAUCUUGGAUCAAUCAACCCCAGUGUCGGAUCCAUCAACCCCAAUGUUGGAUCCAUCAACCCCAAUGUUGGAUCCAUCAACCCCAAUGUGGAUCCAUCAACCCCAACGUUGGAUCCAUCAACCCCAAUGUUGGAUCCAUCAACCCCAACAUUGGAUCCAUCAACCCCAACGAUGGAUCCAUCAACCCCAACAUUGGAUCCAUCAACCCCAACGUGGGUCCAUCAACCCCAAUGUUGGAUCCAUCAACCCAAUGUUGGAUCCAUCAACCCCAACGUUGGAUCCAUCAACCCCAACAUUGGAUCCAUCAACCCAACGUUGGAUCCAUCAACCACAAUGUUGGAUCAUUGGAUCCAUCAACCCCAAUGUUGGAUAAAUCAACCCCAACGUUGGAUACAUCAACCCCCAUGUUGGAUCGUUGGAUCCAUCAACACCAAUGUUGGAUAAAUCAACCCCAACGUUGGAUACAUCAACCCCAGUGUUGGAUCCAUCAACCCCAACGAUGGAUCCAUCAACCCCAAUGUUGGAUCCACCAACCCCAACAUUGGAUCCAUCAACCCCAACAUUGGAUCCAUCAACCCCAACGUUGGAUCCAUCAACCCCAGUGUUGGAUCCAUCAACCCAACGUUGGAUCCAUCAACCCCAACGUUGGAUCCAUCAACCCCAACAUUGGAUCCAUCAACCCCAACGUUGGAUACAUCAACCCCAAUGUUGGAUCGUUGGAUCCAUCAACCCCAAUGUGGAUCCAUCAACCCCAAUGUUGGAUCCAUCAACCCCAAAUUUGGAUCCAUCAACCCCAACGUUGGAUACAUCAACCCCAAUGUUGGAUCCAUCAACCCCAAUGUUGGAUCCAUCAACCCCAAUGUUGGAUCCAUCAACCCAACGUUGGAUCCAUCAACCCCAGUGUUGGAUCCAUCAACCCCAAAAUUGGAUCCAUCAACCCCAAUGUUGGAUCCAUCAACCCCAACGUUGGAUCCAUCAACCCCAACGUUGGAUCCAUCAAAGCCAACGUUGGAUCCAUCAACCCCAGUGUUGGAUCCAUCAACCCCAAUGUUGGAUCCAUCAACCCCAACGCUGGAUCCAUCAACCCCAAUGUUGGAUCCAUCAACCCCAGUGUCGGAUCCAUCAACCCCAGUGUUGGAUCCAUCAACCCCAACGAUGGAUCCAUCAACCCCAAUGUUGGAUCCAUCAACCCCAACGUUGGAUCCAUUAACCCCAAUGUUGGAUCCACCAACCCCAAUGUUGGAUCCAUCAACCCCAACGAUGGAUCCAUCAACCCCAACAUUGGAUCCAUCAACCCCAACGAUGGAUCCAUCAACCCCAAUGUUGGAUCCAUCAACCCCAGUGUUGGAUCCAUUAACCCCAAUGUUGGGAACGGGUCCCCAGCUCAAUGGUCGGGGAUGGAAUGGGGGCAAUGGGAAUGGGACCCCAACCCAGAACCAUGGCAUGCAAUGGGGGGGCAAUGGGUUCGUGACCCCAACGCAGAGCUAUGGGAUUCUAUGGGGACAGCAAUAAUGGGUCCCCAUCCCAACACUAUGGGAUCCAAUGGUGUCAAUGGGAUCGUGUCCCCAUCCCAACACUAUGGGAUCCAAUGGUGUCAAUGGGAUCGUGUCCCCAUCCCANAA
rnacentral:lncRNA from 1 species